AGAGAGGUGGCCGAGUGGUCGAAGGCGCACGCCUGGAAAGUGUGUAUGCACCAAAAGUGCAUCGAGGGUUCGAAUCCCUUCCUCUCUGCAA
rnacentral:tRNA from 2 species